rnacentral:lncRNA from 10 species
ACAUUUUAUUAAACCAUUUCCCUAUCACUGAGAUUUGAUCCAUUUGGAAUUCUUAGGUAUUCUAAAUAAAACUCCCAUUGAAUGUCCUUAAAUUAAAAGAAUUACAAUAAUGACUAGAGUGAGAUGGUAAAGUGGAGCAAGAAACCACAGCAGAUCAGCCUGCCUUUCAUCAUAUGGUGCAGCAGGAGUGCAGGAGUGCCCCAUCGGCCAACAGAUUCGCUGGAAGAAAGUCAACCUUGAGCCAUUUUCUUAUUGCAAUCCACCGGGCAAAAGAACCCAAGCAGCAGAAAGCCUGGUUGCAGAGGUGAUGGCAGGCACUAAGGAAGAGUGCAAAUGGGCAAGCUGAUCCUACUCUCCAGUAUCAGGGAAUUGUUCCCUGGAGAAGCAUUGCUGGCUCUAAAAAACAAAACAAAACAAAAAACAUGCAUGUAGCUCAAGAGAGCUAGCAUUCAGAUCCUGCCACACACCUGACCUCAAAGGCCAGUCCAUGGAAGCAAGAAAAGCAGAGACAAACAACAAAAAGGGGACUGCACCCAUAGGUCAUUGAGUAAGAGAUGUUUAUUCUUUCCAAUCUUUCACUGCAAAGGAGCUGAGCCCGAAGUGGGAGAGAGAGAAGGUGUUCCAAAGGAAGGCCAUGCGUUUGGACUCCAAGGUGAGAGAGUCUAGAAGAGCUGUAGAGUAGACCAGGGCCCUUCCCUACCCAGGUCACCUGUGAGAUCAUUAAGUUCUUCCGUGCUUAAGCCACUGCUAGUAGUUUGUUAGUUGCAGCCAAGAACAACCCUAACUGAUUCCUACUCCAAGGUGUGGAACAUGCCCAGAAAUUAUGAGAUCUGCUCAUGAGUCCUGUAGGGAAUCCAUCUGCCAAAAAGAAAGGGAGGGUCAACAUAGUACAGUCUGGAGACAAGGACUCGGAGAAAGAUAAGACUAUUUCAUGUUCACACUCCAGCACAUUUGGACUGUUCAAUUAACACACGUACAAUCACAUGUUGAAAUCCUACUUCUGCUAUUUGCCAGCAGUGUGUCUUUGGGCAGGUUCCUUAAUUCUCUGGACCUCAGUUUCCUCAACACUAAAAUGGAGGUAACAAUAUUUAUUUCACAGUGUUGUUCUGAAGAUUAAACAGGAUGAUGUCUGUCCAGUGCUUAACAUGUUGGCUAGCAUACAGUGAGUGCUCGGUAAAUGGUAGGUAAUAGUACUGGCAAGUAGUGAAGGAGCCUGGGAGCAUGUCAUGUGAAGAGAUGUUAAGAAACCACAUGAUUGAUGUCUUCAAAUGUUGGAAAAUUUCUCCUAUGAAAGAGACUGUAGACAAUCUGGUAUUGCUACAGAGGGAAAAAUGGGCAAAGAGGGAGGAAAAUUCAGGAAAAAAAAGUUUAGCUCAGUAAAAAUAAAAAAUAAAAAAAUUGAAAAGGAAGAAGUUCUAGUGUUCUAUACAACCUGAUAUCAUUUUGCUGUGUCCCCACCCAAAUCUCAUCUUGAAUUGUAGUUCCCACAAUCCCCAUGUGUCGUGGGAGGGACCAGGUGGAGAUAAUUGAAUCAUGGGGGUGGUUUCCCCCAUCCUGUUCUCAUGACAGGGAGUUAGUUCUCACAAGAUCUGAUGAUUUUAUAAGGAGCUUUCCACCUUUUGCUCAGCACUUCUUGCUGCUGCCAUGUGAGGAAGGACGUGUUUGCUUGUAAGUUUCCUGAAGCCUCCCCAGCCAUGCUGAACUGUGAGUCAAUUAAACCUCUUUCCUUUACAAAUUACCCAGUCUUGGGUAUGUUCCUAUUAGCAGCAUGAGAACAGACUAAUACAACCAUAGGAUGACUACAGUUAAUAAUAAUAUAUUAUAUAGUUUCAAAUAGCUGGAAGGAUAUUGAAUGUUCCCAUCACAAAGAAAUAAUAAAUGUGUGAGAUGAUGGAUAUGCUAAUUAUCCUGAUCUGAUCACUGUAUAUUAUAUGUAUCACAGCAUCAUUAUGUGCCCCAAGAAUAUGUAUGAUUAUUAUGUGUCAAUUAUAAAUUUAAAAUUAAUUUUUUUAAAAUCCAAAAAAUAAAAAUCCUAGUGCUUUGUUUUGGUUUUCCCCCUUUGGUGACAGCAAGAAGCUUAAUAACAACCUGAGGCAAACACAUCCAAGGAGUAGAAUCAUCCAAGUUUGUAGGUAUCUUUAUCCCUGGAGUCUCCCAAGGCAUCUACAGGCUUGGGUUCCCAUAUUUCUGAGGACAACAGGCUGCUUUUCUGGUGAGUACAAUGGCCAGGGGUCCAAGCAGAGGCACAUAAAACCCCACAAAGCCCACCUACUUUGCUCACUUGCCAUCUUUUGACCCUCUCUUCCCUGCUCCUCCUUUCUCAAUUCUAUCAGCCAGGAACUAUAAGUCAGUCUGAAAGUGGGUGGCAGCCACUGCAUAGAGGGGAGAGUAACCCCCAGUACCUCAAAAUGUGAUCUGAUUUGGAAAUAGGGUCAUUAUAGAUAUAAGUAGCUAAGUUAAGAUGAAGUUAUACUGCAGUGGAAUGAGCCUUUAAUCCAAUAUGACUAGUGUCCUUAGAAGAAGAGGUGAAAGAGACACAGAGAGGAGAAUGUCAUGUGAAAACACAGACACACAGGGAGAAGAGGGCUACAUAAAGAUGAAGGCAAAGAUUGGAUUUAUGCUGCCACAAUUAAAUGACCACCUGGGGCUACCAGAAGCUGGAAAGGGUAAAGAAGGAUCCUCCCCAAGAGCAGGUCCAGGAACACAGUCCUGCUGACACCUUGAUGUUGGACUUCUGGCCUCCAGAAUUAUGAGAGAAUAAAUUUCUAUUAUUUAUUGAUUGAUUGAUUUUGAGAGGGAGUCUCACUCUGUCAUCCAGGCUGGAAUAAAGUGGCAUAAUCUUGGCUCACUGCAACCUCCACCUCCUGGGUUCAAGCAAUUCUCCUGCCUCACCCUCCUGAGUAGCUGAGAUUAUAGGCACCUGCCAAUAAUCUUUUUUUGUAUUUUAGUAGAGACAGGGUUUCACCCUGUUGGUCAGGCUGGUCUCAAACUCCUGACCUCAGGUGAUCCACCCACCUCAGUCUCCCAAAGUGCUGGGACUACAGGUGUGAGCCCCUGCUCCCAGCCAAAUUUCUGUUAUUUAAGCCAUUCAGUUUAUGGUACUUUGUUAUGGCAGGAAACGAAUACACUCUUCCCUGUGCAUAAUAUACCUUUUUUUGGAACAGGGUCUCAUUCUGUCACCCAGGCUGGAGUGCAGUGGUGCAAUCACGGCUCACUGCAGCCUUUUUUUCCUGAGGUGAUCCUCCUGAGUAGCUGAAACCACAGGCAUGUGCUACCAUGCCCAGCUAAUUUUUUUCAAAGUUUUUAUAGAUACAGGGUUUCACCAUGUUGUCCAGGCUGGUCUUGAAUUCCUGGGCUUAAGUGACCCUCCCAUCUCAGCCUCCCCAAAUGCUGGGAUUAUAGGUGUGAGCCACCACGCCUGGCCCCACACACAAUAUACUGGAGCUAUACUUUAACAUAGCAGAUCCACACUGUUGGGGUCUUUAAGGUUAUGCAAUAAUGAGCAUCCCAGUUCCCCACUUAAGUUUUAAUACAAAUUAAAAAUAAAUCAAAAGAAUAUGCUAAUGACUCCCAAACACACAUCUCCAACCAGAUCAUUUAUGUUAACUCCAUAUCAAAAAUAUUCUCAAUUUCCUAUUGGACACCUCCAUCUCUCAUACACACUCAAUA